UACAGAGGGUGCAAGCGUUAAUCGGAAUUACUGGGCGUAAAGGGCGCGUAGGCGGUUAUUUAAGUUGGAUGUGAAAGCCCCGGGCUUAACCUGGGAAUUGCAUACAAGACUGGAUGACUAGAGUAUGGUAGAGGGUAGUGGAAUUUCCGGUGUAGCGGUGAAAUGCGUAGAGAUCGGAAGGAACACCAGUGGCGAAGGCGGCUACCUGGACCAAUACUGACGCUGAGGCGCGAGAGCGUGGGUAGCAAACAGG
rnacentral:rRNA from 1 species